rnacentral:rRNA from 1 species
UACGGAGGGUGCAAGCGUUAUCCGGAUUCACUGGGUUUAAAGGGUGCGUAGGUGGGAAUGUAAGUCAGUGGUGAAAUCUCCGUGCUUAACAUGGAAACUGCCAUUGAUACUAUGUUUCUUGAAUUUUCUGGAGGUCAGCGGAAUAUGUCAUGUAGCGGUGAAAUGCUUAGAUAUGACAUAGAACACCCAUUGCGAAGGCAGCUUACUACGCCUAUAUUGACGCUGAGGCACGAAAGCGUGGGGAUCAAACAGG